rnacentral:rRNA from 1 species
UGGGGAAUAUUGCACAAUGGGCGCAAGCCUGAUGCAGCCAUGCCGCGUGUAUGAAGAAGGCCUUCGGGUUGUAAAGUACUUUCAGCGGGGAGGAAGGCGAUAAGGUUAAUAACCUUGUCGAUUGACGUUACCCGCAGAAGAAGCACCGGCUAACUCCGUGCCAGCAGCCGCGGUAAUACGGAGGGUGCAAGCGUUAAUCGGAAUUACUGGGCGUAAAGCGCACGCAGGCGGUCUGUCAAGUCGGAUGUGAAAUCCCCGGGCUCAACCUGGGAACUACAUUCGAAACUGGCAGGCUAGAGUCUUGUAGAGGGGGGUAGAAUUCCAGGUGUAGCGGUGAAAUGCGUAGAGAUCUGGAGGAAUACCGGUGGCGAAGGCGGCCCCCUGGACAAAGACUGACGCUCGGGUGCGAAAGCGUGGGGAGCAAACA